rnacentral:rRNA from 1 species
UGAAUACGAGAUGCUACGGCGUCGAAGCAGUCUAUGUCAUUCUUCCAAGAAAAGCUCGCACUGUCAUAAACAAAUAAUGCCUGUACCAUAACCGACACAGGUGGGUAGGUAGAGUAUACUAAGGGGCGCGAGAUAACUCUCUCUAAGGAACUCGGCAAAAUGACUCCGUAACUUCGGGAGAAGGAGUGCCUUAUUUAUAAGGUUGCAAUAACAAGAUCCAAGCAACUGUUUAUCAAAAACACAGGUCUCCGCUAAGUCGUAAGACGAUGUAUGGGGGCUAACGCCUGCCCAGUGCCAGAAGGUUAAAGAAGUUGGUUAGCAUUCGCGAAGCUGAUAACUGAAGCCCUGGUGAACGGCGGCCGUAACAAUAACGGUCCUAAGGUAGCGAAAUUCCUUGUCGGGUAAGUUCCGACCCGCACGAAAGGCGUAAUGAUUUGGAUACUGUCUCGGAGAGGGGCUCGGUGAAAUAGACUUGUCUGUGAAGAUGCGGACUACCUGCACCAGGACAGAAAGACCCUAUGAAGCUUUACUGUAACUUGAGAUUGAAAUUGGACUUUACUUGCGCCGUAUAGGUGGGAGGCGUUGAUAAUAUUCUUGCGGGAUUAUUUGAGCCAUCAGUGAGAUACCACUCUUGUAAUGUUAGAUUUCUAACUUUGUAUCAUUAUCUGGUCAAAGGACAGUUUCAGGCGGGCAGUUUGACUGGGGCGGUCGCCUCCUAAACGGUAACGGAGGCGCACAAAGGUUUCCUCUGAACGGGUAGAAAUCGUAUCUAGAGUGUAAAGGCAUAAGGAAGCUUGACUGUGAGACCUACAAGUCGAGCAGGGACGAAAGUCGGUCUUAGUGAUCUGACGGUGCUGAGUGGAAAGGCCGUCACUCAACGGAUAAAAGUUACUCUAAGGAUAACAGGCUGAUCUCCCCCAAGAGUUCACAUCGACGGGGAGGUUUGGCACCUCGAUGUCGGCUCAUCGCAUCCUGGGGCGGUAGUACGUCCCAAGGGUUGGGCUGUUCGCCCAUGAAAGCGGUACGCGAGCUGGGUUCAGAACGUCGUGAGACAGUUCGGUCCAUAUCCGGUGUAGGCGUUAGAAUAUUGAGAGGAGCCUUCUUUAGUACGAGAGGACCGAGAAGGACAUACCUCUGGUGUACCAGUUAUCGUGCCAACGGUAAACGCUGGGUAGCUAUGUAUGGAGUGGAUAACCGCUGAAAGCAUCUAAGUGGGAAGCCCACCUCAAGAUAAGUAUUCUCAC